rnacentral:misc_RNA from 1 species
GAUGAAGAACGCAGCGAAUUGCGAUAAGUAAUGUGAAUUGCAGAAUUCCGUGAAUCAUCGAAUCUUUGAACGCAAAUUGCACUCUUCGGUCUUCCGGGGAGUAUGCCUGUUUGAGGGUCGGUAAAAUGAAACAUCGAUUUGUUGCUUGUUUGCAACAUUUCGGAGUUGGGUUAACUUUUGAUAUUCUCAAGUGACCUAAAAUUCAUUACCUCGGUAUGAUUAACGUUCUUAAAUGAUUUCGUUCUGAGUGCCGAAUUUAUUAGACGUGACUAUCUUAUAGCAUCACUUCUAUAAUUUUUGAAUUUCGACCUCAAAUCAAGCAAGAUUACCCGCUGAACUUAAGCAUAUCAAUAAGCGGAGGA